UCAGCAUGGCCUUUAUAUCCCUGGGCUACACACACGCUACAAUGGCCAACACGAAUAGGUUGCUAAGCCGCGAGGUGGAGCCAAUCCAUAAAGUUGGUCUCAGUUCAGAUUGUAGGCUGCAACCCGCCUGCAUGAAGAUGGAGUUGCUAGUAACCGCAGGUCAGCUAUACUGCGGUGAAUACGUUCCCGGGGCUU
rnacentral:rRNA from 1 species